AGUUGAGUGCCGGAUAGUGGCGGACGGGUGAGUAACACGUGGGCAACCUGCCCUACAGCCUGGGAUACCAUCGGGAAACUGAUGUUAAUACCGGAUACGCUCUUUUGAUCGCAUGAUCUAAGGAGGAAAGAUUUAUCGCUGUAGGAUGGGCCCGCGGUCCAUUAGCUAGUUGGUAGGGUAACGGCCUACCAAGGCGACGAUGGAUAGCUGGUCUGAGAGGACGAUCAGCCACACUGGGACUGAGACACGGCCCAGACUYCUACGGGAGGCAGCAGUGGGGAAUAUUGCGCAAUGGGGGCAACCCUGACGCAGCAAUGCCGCGCGAAGGAUGAAGGCUUUCGGGUCGUAAACUUCUGUCUAGAGGGAUGAAUAAUGACAGUACCUCUGGAGGAAGCCCCGGCUAACUACGUGCCAGCAGCCGCGGUAAUACGUAGGGGGCAAGCGUUGUCCGGAAUCACUGGGCGUAAAGCGCGCGUAGGUGGUCUAGUAAGUCAGAUGUUAAAAUGCGGGGCUCAACCCCGUAAUGCAUUUGAAACUGCUGGACUUGAGGACAGGAGAGGAAAGUGGAAUUCCUAGUGUAGCGGUGAAAUGCGUAGAUAUUAGGAGGAACACUAGUGGCGAAGGCGACUUUCUGGACUGUACCUGAC
rnacentral:rRNA from 1 species